rnacentral:rRNA from 1 species
GAUGAACGCUGGCGGCGUGCCUAAUACAUGCAAGUCGAGCGAACAGACGAGGAGCUUGCUCCUCUGACGUUAGCGGCGGACGGGUGAGUAACACGUGGAUAACCUACCUAUAAGACUGGGAUAACUUCGGGAAACCGGAGCUAAUACCGGAUAAUAUAUUGAACCGCAUGGUUCAAUAGUGAAAGACGGUUUUGCUGUCACUUAUAGAUGGAUCCGCGCCGCAUUAGCUAGUUGGUAAGGUAACGGCUUACCAAGGCGACGAUGCGUAGCCGACCUGAGAGGGUGAUCGGCCACACUGGAACUGUGACACGGUCCAGACUCCUACGGGAGGCAGCAGUAGGGAAUCUUCCGCAAUGGGCGAAAGCCUGACGGAGCAACGCCGCGUGAGUGAUGAAGGUCUUCGGAUCGUAAAACUCUGUUAGUAGGGAAGAACAAAUGUGUAAGUAACUAUGCACGUCUUGACGGUACCUAAUCAGAAAGCCACGGCUAACUACGUG